AUACUUACCUGGCAGGAGAGAGAACAUGAUCAUGAAGGUAGUUUUCCCAGAGUGAGGCUUAUCCACUGCUCUCAUGAUGUGCUGUCCCCUGCAAUUUCCCCAAAUGUGGGAAACUUGAUUGCAUAAUUUGUGGAAGUGGGGGACUGCGUUCAUGCUAUUCCCUA